ensembl:lncRNA
AUAUUGUAUAUUUUUGUAUAUAAUAUACAUGCUUUUGUGAAACAAAAACAUGGCAUACACACAGUCCUUUGGUGGUUUUGAUUUCUUGUUCUCUGAAUAAAUGAAAUGCCCCCUUCCCCACUUUUAAGACAAACAUUGAUUUGAGAGACAAAACAGACAACAGUAUCAUUUCAAUUUAGUAAUAAAGUCACAAAAUUAUUUUCUUAACUAUAUUUAGAGUUUCCUUACCAAACAUAGGCAUUUCCACACUGGGACAGGGGAGGGCACUAAAGAGUUAUGCAUAGAUCAGAAAGCUGAAGCAAUGCUUUGUUCAACGUGUAAAUUGGCUCCACAAUGAUCGUGAGAUUAGCAUGUAAACUUCCUGAAUAAAAAAAAAAAAAAAAAAAAAAAAAAAAAAAAAAAAAAAAAGCUUUGAUACAGCCUAUUUUAGUUGCUUGAACCACUUCCUUAAUCGUUGGGAAAAGCUGCUGAAGCCAAGCUUUUCUUUUUUACUUUAUUCUUUCAUCCAAGUAAGGAAAAUACGUCCCUGUCAAUAGUUUUCUAAGAAUAUGUUGGACUCCGAGAGUAGAUGUGGUUUGAACAAGACUAGUGUGUUUAGGCAUUAGUUUUAUUUGUCUGCAGUCAAUCAAAUUAAGUUUUAGGAUUAAAAAAAAUCGGUUAUAAGAUCCUUGUUCUACCUGGGCUAAUACCACUACAGAACAGAGACAGUUCUUGGACAGUGUCAGUUUGGACAAUCGACUACAACCAUUACUGUACUGCCAAGAAAUCUCCUGCAAGACUAUUUACAAACUUACUGCACUUGUUAGCUCCUUAUGGGAAGCAAUGAUUCAUCUUCAUGUGCAUGUGUGGUUUGUCGACAGAAAUGAGCAACAUGAAACUAUUUACAUAAUUAAUUACCAUCAAGUUCCAAGUAGUGUAUGAAGCUGAGACAAUUCUUCCCAUUUUCUGCCUGUCAGAGUCCACUAUCACAGCUCAGAACAUGAACUGAGGUCUUUCUUUGUACAAGCCCAUCUGAAUGAAGACUCUUUUAAUUAUAGCAACUUUUUUUUUUAAUUAGUGGAUAAUUCUGUAACCAGUGGUAACAUUUGUCAUGGUACAAGGCUAUAAUCAGAUCUCAUGCACUGGUGGAUGCGUUUAUCACUGCAGAGAUCAGGAAGGCUUUAUGAACAGCAUUCAAUAGUUCAACAAAGUACAAGUUCUAUAUUUUCCUAGAGACCUUUUUUGCUGUUUUUCAUACUAUGCAACAUGUAAUAAAGCAGGAGUAAACCUGGGUGUGUUGGUCAGUCACAGAAGUGUUAGGAGGCAAUGUUGUGCAGCGCACACAAGGAAAAGAAAUGAUAACAGGGAUGGAGAAGCAUGAAUGCCACUUCACAGGUCACUGUUCUGGCCCACUGUUCUGGUUAACCCUGAUGAAAAAUAUAACGUUUAAAAAUGGACCAGAGAUAUCAGAGGAAGAGUGCUAAGCAGCCCUGAAGCUUUUGAGUUGAUGGAUGUCCUCUAUGCAAUGAACACAUAUGUAACACAUCCUAGGGCUUGAUUUUGAAAUACAUCCAGCUCUGCAUCACACUUUCCAUUUAGCAACUCCAACAGAUGCUCUGGGGUAAAAAGGGUUCCUCUAGCCAUCUGGAUUACAUCCUCCUUAUUGACGUUUUAAAAGGAGUAUCACAUGCAGCAGAAACAGAACUAGGGAACAAAGAGAGGUGUGGAGGAGAAUGCCUGCCCAGAGAGUCCUAGAAGACAGCCCGUGCAGAGGUGUGGUGGAAGAGUCCAACAGCAGAAGUCCUCCAAAAGCUCACCACCCCAUAGCCAAGCUCUGCUCCGGUUUCCAGAGAAGGACAAGUUUGACGCCUCAUGGUACAGAGAGACAAGCCCCCUAAUGGAUCAGAAAACAUUUUUUUCUCUCCAUGAUCACAGUCUCCCAUGACAACCAUGUUUUUUUCUCCAUAGGGAUACUAUGCCUGGCUGCCAAGAGAUGGACUUUUGUGAGAAACUGAAUUUUCACAGAAGCUGGACCUGUCCCCAACAGAUGGAAAUGGUUCAGGUGCUUAUGGUGUCCAAAGUAUAUAUAAUGUGAACCCAUAUUUCCGCCUUUGAAAGAAGCAAUAAUGAAAACCACAUUGCAAACAGAAAAAUUAAGCUUCCUUUGAAUUUCAAAACAAAGCAAAGAAGGAAUCACUUUCCCUUAAGAAAAUACCAGGAGCUUGCAAAAACAAGGACGAGCUGUGCAAAUGUACCCAUCUUGACUUUGUGGGUGUAAUAGAAAACAGGAAUCAUAAAUGCACACCAUGUGUUACAAUAUUUUUUAGAAAGAGAUCUGGCUGCUGUGCUACCAUACUGACACAGACCCUCCAAAACAAUUGUAAGGCCAUUGCCAUGAAAAACAGGAUAGAGGGAAGCGCUCGGUCUUCCCAGGAGCCGCAGCGGGCUCUGCGCUGGGGUUACUGGAGGUUAUUUCCUCCGCACACUGCGCUGCCUUGGCCCCGUCCUUCCGAUUACACACCCCGCUUUUGUGCGUCCCGGCUUGCCGGGGGAGAGAGCUCCGCGCGUUUGCGGUUUUGUUCCCUUCAUUACCAUGCAGACAAUAUUCGGCUGUUCUCAAGGAAGGUCUGGGAUCCCUGCUCUUUUCCCAGGCUUUCUUCUUGUCCAUGAAAAGAGGAGAAACAACGAGGGGCCUGUUCGGCUCCGUCUCGCCAAGCCGUGGGCUGAUGGU